AGUCACCAGAACACCCAAAAUUGGUGAUUUGUUUACAUUUCACCACAAUUUUAAAGGGUCUAAUAUCGUAUUCCGUCUUGUCCGCCAUUUGCAGAAGCCUACAGGAAUUAUUAAUCUUCUAGGCCUCACUACGCCUAUACUACCGUCACCAUGAAGAGUGAGAAAAUAAAGCUAGCUCACUUCCUCGCACGGACCAGGAUGGAGAUCAAAUAGAGAGAGAGAGAGAGAGAGAGAGAGAAGGUGGAAAAAUCUCUUUCUACAAUUUUAAGACAUGUCCAAAACCAGACAUUAUGAUGCUGAUGGUUUCGUCUUACGGGCUGCCUGUGUGUGUGUCGACGCGGAAGAGAGAGAGGUAAGAGAGAGAGAGAAGAGAGAGAGAGGAG